rnacentral:rRNA from 1 species
UACGGGGGGAGCAAGCGUUGUUCGGAUUUACUGGGCGUAAAGCGCGCGUAGGCGGUUUCUUAAGUCUGGGGUGAAAGGUUCAACGCUCAACGUGAACAGUGCCUUGGAUACUGGGAGACUUGAGUCUGGGAGGGGGUAGUGGAAUUCCUGGUGUAGCGGUGAAAUGCGUAGAUAUCAGGAGGAACACCGGUGGCGAAGGCGGUUCUCUGGGCAUUACCUGACGCUGAGGAGCGAAAGUGUGGGGAGCGAACAGG